rnacentral:ncRNA from 1 species
AUGGGAUGAAAGUUUGGAACAUCUAGUUCUCUCUCCAUCACUCCCUCUGCCAUCUGAACAGAUUCCAUAACCAUUUCUCAUACCAACACCUCAUAAGAAGUAUUCCUAGAGUGGCUUUGUCCAGAUUACAAUUUAAACAUAGGCUCUAAUAAAUCACAGUUCUGCUGUGUUAUUAGAACAAUCCUAAAUUCUAAAUCUAUCAUUGUAAAGUAAACAGUGCCAGUUGCAUAAGUUAGGAGAUGUCAGAAAAGUUACCACAGGGAUAAAUGUGGUGGUGACCAGACAUUCACAGAAAGGUUGCUUUUUGAUUCUUCGAUGUCAUCUCUUCCUAUCAUUAUGAAGGAGAAUUAAACCAGCAGAUUAUUCACUCAAUAAUAGGCAACAUGUGCUGGGAUUAGACCAUCAUGAGACAGCUUAGUUUUACCCUACUAAUGAUGUGU